rnacentral:misc_RNA from 1 species
AUGCAAAUGCAAAUUAAAGGACCUAACAAGAAUGCAGAGCUAUAAAGACCCUCCAACCUUAUUAUUUAUCGCAAAUAAACCACAAAUUCAAUCCAAAAGAAAUGAAAGAAAAUGCAAAGAAAUGAAAGGAAAACUAUUGACGGUCCUUUAAAAAAACAGGAUUUUUGCAUUAAAGAUAAUAAAAUUAAAAUCCCAGAAAUAUUUUGCAUAGAUAUCAAAAUGGGUAACACGAAAUCAUGGAUUUAUUAAACAAAACUACAAAAUAAAAAGUGUCAAUAAUAGAUAAAAGCACAACGAAAUAUGAAACCAGACCUGGGUUUUGAUGAUUCUGAG